GAUGAACGCUGGCGGCGUGCCUAAUACAUGCAAGUCGAGCGAACGGACGAGAAGCUUGCUUCUCUGAUGUUAGCGGCGGACGGGUGAGUAACACGUGGAUAACCUACCUAUAAGACUGGGAUAACUUCGGGAAACCGGCGCUAAUACCGGAUAAUCUUUUGAACCGCAUGGUUCAAUAGUGAAAGACGGUCUUGCUGUCACUUAUAGAUGGAUCCGCGCUGCAUUAGCUAGUUGGUAAGGUAACGGCUUACCAAGGCAACGAUGCAUAGCCGACCUGAGAGGGUGAUCGGCCACACUGGAACUGAGACACGGUCCAGACUCCUACGGGAGGCAGCAGUAGGGAAUCUUCCGCAAUGGGCGAAAGCCUGACGGAGCAACGCCGCGUGAGUGAUGAAGGUCUUCGGAUCGUAAAACUCCGUUAUUAGGGAAGAACAUAUGUGUAAGUAACUGUGCACAUCUUGACGGUACCUAAUCAGAAAGCCACGGCUAACUACGUG
rnacentral:rRNA from 1 species